rnacentral:rRNA from 1 species
UACGUAAGUGGCGAGCGUUAUCCGGAAUUACUGGGUGUAAAGAGUGUGUAGGCGGCUUAUCAAGUCUCGUGUAAAAUCCCAAGGCUCAACCUUGGUCCUGCGCGGGAAACUGGUAGGCUUGAGUGGAUGAGAGGUAACUGGAAUUCCUGGUGUAGCGGUGAAAUGUGUAGAUAUCAGGAAGAACACCAAUGGCGAAGGCAGGUUACUGGCGUCCCACUGACGCUGAGACACGAAAGCAUGGGGAGCGAAC